UUAAGGAACUCUGCAAAUUGACACCGUAACUCCGGGAGAAGGUGUGCCGCUGGCGGUUAGUGACUUCGCGUCACGAAGCUGUUGGUGGUCGCAGUGAAAUGGCGGUUGUGACUGUUUACUAAAAACACAGGACUCUGCGAAGUCGUAAGACGACGUAUAGGGUCUGAUGCCUGCCCGGUGCUGGAAGGUUAAGGGGAUAUGUCAGCGCAAGCGAAGCAUUGAACCGAAGCCCCAGUAAACGGCGGCCGUGACUAUAACGGUCCUAAGGUAGCGAAAUUCCUUGUCGGGUAAGUUCCGACCUGCACGAAGGGCAUAACAACAUCCGCACUGUCUCGACCAGGGACUCAGCGAAAUUACAUUGGGGGUGAAGAUGCCCUCUACCCGCGGAAAGACGGAAAGACCCCAUGAACCUUUACUGCAACUUGGCAGUGAUUUUCGGGUUGUUCUGCGUAGGAUAGGUGGGAGGCUUUGAAGCCGGGCUUCCGGGUUCGGCAGAGCCAACGUUGAAAUACCACCCUGAAUAAUCUGGAAAUCUAACCUGCGCCCAUGAUCUGGGCGAGGGACACUGCCUGGUGGGCAGUUUGACUGGGGCGGUCGCCUCCUAAAUUGUAACGGAGGCGUGCGACGGUUCCCUCAGGCUGAUUGGAAACCAGCCGUAGAGUGCAAACGCAUAAGGGAGCUUUACUGCGAGACUGACAAGUCGACCAGUUGCGAAAGCAGGUGUUAGUGAUCCGGUGGUACCACAUGGAAGGGCCAUCGCUCAUCGGAUAAAAGGUACUCUGGGGAUAACAGGCUGAUCGCGCCUGAGAGUUCACAUCGGCGGCGCGGUUUGGCACCUCGAUGUCGGCUCAUCGCAUCCUGGGGCUGGAGCAGGUCCCAAGGGUUUGGCUGUUCGCCAAUUAAAGCGGUACGCGAGCUGGGUUUAAAACGUCGUGAGACAGUUUGGUCCCUAUCUUCCGUGGGCGCAGGAUACUUGAGAGGAGCUAUCCAUAGUACGAGAGGACCUGGAUGGACGAACCUCUGGUGCUCCGGUUGUCACGCCAGUGGCAUAGCCGGGUAGCCAUGUUCGGAACAGAUAACCGCUGAAGGCAUAUAAGCGGGAAGCUGGCCUCAAGACUAGGUAUCCCUGACGCAAGUCACUAAAGGCCCCUCGAAGACUACGAGGUUGAUAGGCUCGGUGUGGAAGCACAGCGAUGUGCGGAGCUAACGAGUACUAAUAGGCCGUGCGGCUUGACCUC
rnacentral:rRNA from 1 species